CAAAAAAAAAGAUGUGAAUGGAAAUCUGAAGUUUGAAUGAGGUCUACAGUACAUUUAGUAGCAGUCUGCCAGCAUCAAGUUUCCGGUUUUUAAUACACACUCCAUUACAUAAAUGUCAACAUUAGGGGAGGUCUGUGAAAAAAGUAGGGAAAUGCACUAAAAUGUUUUUGCAACUUUUCUGAAAAGACUAAAUUUACCUGAUGAAUGAAAGUUUGCCACAUUGCAGCCUCUGAUUCUGUAGGUCUCUGUGGACCUGAAAGUGCAUUUCUCCCAAACUCCCAAGUGAUCCUGAUCAUGCUGUAGGCCGUAGGCCACCUGGCAGCAAGACUGGCAAAUGUGGCUAACUUUAUCAUGCCAACUUUCAAGUGUGACAAGCCACUGACUGCGUCAAGACGAUGCUCCAAGCACAGCGACACUGACCACAUGCUGAAUUACUAGCUUAGACACCAACCACAUUGCUUGAUGCAACACACGUCUGACUGGCCACCCGAGGCUGCAGAGCAGAACAGUCCACUAAACUCCAGGCAACAGGCAGCUGUACAGCAGUGAUCUCGAACCUGUCCUGAGCAGGGAGAGGGUGCAAUGGCACAAAGGCCACAAGGAGACAAACAGGCCUUAGGAUUUCUGUUCCAGGUGAGUGAUAAACUGCACAGGUGACCUCUGCUUCUCCCACUGAUGUGAGGUUUCAUAGAUUAAACCCCAAGGAAAAAACGUGGAUGCAGGCAAGAGGUUUCUCUAAUAUCUGACUAGACCGGAGAGGUUCCAACCCAGGAACGCAAACGCCGUUUGGAGCAUACAGUAGUGGAGCCCUAGCCUUGCAGAUCAGCUGCAAGCCAGCAUCCUAAGCAAAAGGGGGCUGGGCCUGCUGGGUACACAACAGCUGACUCCCUGGCGCCCCUACAGAGACAAGGUGGCGCUGCUCUCAGGCUAAGAAGGCUUUGCUACAGAAGCUCAAAGGCCCAGAGAAAAAUCUGGGCGUUCCAGGUCCCAUGGUAACAAGCGCCUAGUCACCAUAGGGCAAAACCACUCUACACAAACCCAGGGAUCUCUGCCAGGUUCUUCCUGCCUAGACAAUGAUAAUCUUCAAUCCUGCAGGAGGACGUACACCAACACCGGAAGAGGACAUGGCACAUGCAACAAGCCAGUAUCUACCCAAGAAAAGGCUGACUCUAGAGUACACGCGAAAUCAGAACGAAGAAAACCGAAGGGAACCCUUCUUAUUGUCCUCUGACGCACGGAGCUACUUAUACUCAUAAACAGUAAGCUACUAUGAGAAAGGAACAAGACAAAUACACUCUCGGGAAGUAAAGAUCUGAUUGUAGAAGUUAAAAAAUUAAAACGGGAGCGGAGGAGAAACUGAAGGCCUUUUCCAGAAACAGGAAUAAAAAGGGCCCGGGAUGAACAAAGAUAAGAGAUUGGCGGGGUCAAGCCGAGCUGUCUACCUCAUGCUGACAGGAGCUCCUGGAAGAGAGCAGAGCAGGAUGAGUGAGCAACGAACGCAGACGCUCCGGGACAAUUUCCCAGAGCUGAAGUCUGCAGAGCCAGAGCUCGCGCACCGCGACUCCGCGUACACGGGCGCACUGUAGGGGCCGAAGCUCCCGAACACCGCCGAGGAGGGGAAGAGCUCUCCGAAGGACCGGGAGCGCUGGCAGAGACUCUCGCUGACAUGAUACGGCCAAGAUAAGGCACGCGCGGCACGGUGACAUCAAGGCCCAUCGAGGCUGGUCCUGGGCUACUGUGCAGCAAAAGCACCUCAAAGACCUUCCUUGAGCUAUGGACGCCCGCUCUGGAGCGGCGACGUUGAAAUGAGGCCUGUCCUUGUCCCAGAUGAUGACACGGUCCGCCGGGAUUAGACCCUGGCUCAGCCAGGUCUGGCCAGCAAGAGCAAAAGCAGGUUAAAACUCUGUUGGGGGCCUAGAACUCGGCUGUCUUGGUGUCCGAGUGGAAUAUAAGCUGGACUUUUCCAUGGGGCACAGGGCUGUCACCCUGACGUGGUUCCGUCCCACACCGCCUCCAGCCCGUCUGUGUGGCGCAUCCAGACACCUCCGCCUUCUGUCCUUCCUCCUGAACCCAGCCACUUGGGGAGGCUGGACUAGGAUGGCUUGGCCCCCUCACCCACCCCCACUCCACUGUGCAGACCAGCCUGGAGCUGCCUGCUGACUUUAAACCCCACAGAUCAAAACUUCGCUCAAGAAAUCUGUCUGGAAGCUGGGUGUGGUGUUGCACACCUAUAAUUCCAGCAUUGGGGACGCGGAAGCAGGAGACUGCAAGUUCCAGGCCAGCCUGGGCUCCAUAGUGAGCUCAAGGCCAGCCUGAACUACACAGUGAGACCCUGUCUCGGGAAAAAUGUUUAGAUAAUGUCCUGGACCCCAAACAAGUCACUGUCCCACAAUGCCUUUCUGUCUCCCUGCCAGGGCUACCUGACCUCCAGGUACAGGCCCAGGACUGGCAGGCGCUGUGCCGCUGAGCUACAUCCCAGCCCUUCUCCGAAUCACUUUAAGGAGUGGUCUCCAACAUAAAGAUCCUAAAUUACAACGGAAUCCAAACACCUUGGUCUAAAGUCCACUGCUGUUGAAAAGGCUUCGGAAGCCUGACUUCCAUGACACAUCGCUGUCCAGGUAAGCAAAGCGCCCUGCCUGGUCACUCAGUGCCCCCGUCACCACGUCACCCAGGCCCCUGCAGGAAAGACUCUGAGCCGGGACAGUGCCCGGCCAGCCUGCAGAGUCUCUGGGACUCCAGCCCCAGCUCUCACUAUGCAGGCCGGGCUGGCCUUGAACUCAUUUUGUUGCUCAGGCUGACCUCAAACUCAUAGUGAUUCUCCUGCCUCAGCCUCCUGAGUGCUGGGAUUACAGGCAGGCCCCAGCAAGCCUACCUCUCUUAAUUUUAUGGAAUUCACAAUUCAAUCUCCUCUCAGGCAUGAUUGUAUAGCCCUGUAAUCCCAGCAUUCAGGAGGCUGAGGAAGGAAGAGUGCUGUGAGUU